rnacentral:rRNA from 11 species
AACUCAAAUGAAUUGACGGGGGCCCGCACAAGCGGUGGAGCAUGUGGUUUAAUUCGAUGAUACGCGAGGAACCUUACCUGGGCUUAAAUGGGAAAUGACAGUUUAGGAAACUAGACCUUCUUCGGACAUUUUUCAAGGUGCUGCAUGGUUGUCGUCAGCUCGUGCUGUGAGGUGUCGGGUUAAGUCCCAUAACGAGCGCAACCCCUAUCUUUAGUUGCCAGCGAGUAAUGUCGGGGACUCUAGAGAAACUGCCGGUGCAAACCGAGAGGAAGGUGGGGAUGACGUCAAAUCAUCAUGCCCCUUAUGAUUUGGGCUACACACGUGCUACAAUGGACAAUACAAAGGGCAGCGAAACCGCGAGGUCAAGCAAAUCCCAUAAAGUUGUUCUCAGUUCGGAUUGUAGUCUGCAACUCGACUACAUGAAGCUGGAAUCGCUAGUAAUCGGAUAUCAGCCAUGAUCCGGUGAAUACGUUCCCGGGCCUUGUACACACCGCCCGUCGCACCAUGGGAGUUGGUUUUACCCGAAGGUGGUGCGCUAACCGUAAGGAGGCAGCCAACCACGGUAAGGUCAGCGACUGGGGUGAAGUCGGAACAAGGUAGCCGUAGGGGAACCUGCGGCUGGAUCAC